rnacentral:rRNA from 1 species
UGGGGAAUUUUGGACAAUGGGCGCAAGCCUGAUCCAGCCAUGCCGCGUGUCUGAAGAAGGCCUUCGGGUUGUAAAGGACUUUUGUCAGGGAAGAAAAGGAUAGGGUUAAUACCCCUGUCUGAUGACGGUACCUGAAGAAUAAGCACCGGCUAACUACGUGCCAGCAGCCGCGGUAAUACGUAGGGUGCGAGCGUUAAUCGGAAUUACUGGGCGUAAAGCGGGCGCAGACGGUUACUUAAGCAGGAUGUGAAAUCCCCGGGCUCAACCUGGGAACUGCGUUCUGAACUGGGUGACUAGAGUGUGUCAGAGGGAGGUAGAAUUCCACGUGUAGCAGUGAAAUGCGUAGAGAUGUGGAGGAAUACCGAUGGCGAAGGCAGCCUCCUGGGAUAACACUGACGUUCAUGCCCGAAAGCGUGGGUAGCAAACAGGAUUAGAUACCCUGGCAGUCCACGCCCUAAACGAUGUCGAUUAGCUGUUGGGCAGCUUGACUGCUUAGUAGCGAAGCUAACGCGUGAAAUCGACCGCCUGGGGAGUACGGUCGCAAGAUUA